rnacentral:tRNA from 1 species
GCACCAGUGGUCUAGUGUUAGAAUAGUACCUUCCCACGGUACAGACUUGGGUUCGAUUCCCAGCUGAUGCA